UCCCCGGUGGUGCAGUGGUUAAGAAUCUGCACUUCCACUGCAGGGGGUGCAGGUUCAAUCCCUGGUCGGGGAG
rnacentral:tRNA from 1 species